CUCCCUCUCUACCGUAGAUUUCCUUUGUUCUGGUUCGGGGUUGGCGUCGGGCCCUGGGAUCACGCGAAUGGCGCUCGGGCUGUGAUCCGGCUGCUGGGUGGAGAUGGUGGAUGCCGCGUGCCUAGUGCCUAGUGACACGACCUGGUUCGUCUCUAUUUUUUUUCUGGAAGAAUGGUUUGUGAUCCGCUUGUUCGUCGACAGGCCCUGGUCGCCGGGAUGCCGCGUUUUGUUAGUAUUUCUUGCUGGGGCUGCAGCCGAGGGAGAUGCAUAGUGGAUGGCGGCAGAGCGGGUCGGCAGAAGCGUGGUCGGAGGCGGGGUGGUGGUGUGAUGGCUGGGCGGCGCGUGCAUGUGUUGCCGUGUUGGGGCUGUGGUGGCUUGCGUGUGGUCUCUGCUAGGCAAUGAGAGAUUUAAAGUGAGAUGAUUAAGAGGUCCGGCGCCUUGAGCUCGCACCCGGCCGUCCCGUGCCGCUAGAUCCCUCCGGGUAGCGGCUUCCAGUUGCCUGGCACCGCCCGCUCCUCGACCUCACGCCCGUUCAGGGGCGCCUCGUGUCGUCGGUUGUUGAGAGCUGCAAGUACCUUAAAUAUGUCACCACAACCCUGCUCUGUUUCAUCCUCAUACUACAUCGUCAUACGCCGCCGUUGACUUCCUGCCGAACCCCCGGUUGGCAGGAAAUGACUGAACUCGUGAUGCUCUUUCUUCCAGCGAUUUCAUUUGCAGGUCUGCUCUUCGCUCUUACUAUUUUCAGUAUUUUUUUUGUAUAGCAGUUAGAUAUUGGAGGUAGCUGUGUGCUAUCUAUGGACCAUAUGGUACUGCUCGGAACAACCUGAUUGCGUUGCUCCAAGUGCAAUUGAAAUUCGAACACACCACAUUGCUCGGCUGCAUUUUAUAAGAAAGAAGUUAGCAGAACCAUUGACUGAUUUCAUUGGAGGAAUGAGGUACAGUGGUUAUAUGUAUGGUGAUUAAAUCAAGUUUUUUUUUACCUAUGCUUCCAACCUGUAGGUGAAUUUGUGUCUAUGCUCCGUGGCGUCGAUAUGUAAAUCUUCCGAUGCUAUUUUGUGCCAUAUGGGCAAACACUAAGUUCUGAGGAAGAGAUGUCAUAUGUGUACCAUAUGGACAAACACUCUACAUUCUAAAGGACGGGCAGAACGUGCAUCCCCUGGAUUGUCUUACUUAACCUGGCAACAAAGAGAGGAGGUUGCAAAGAAGCACGAAGGGGAAUACAUGUCUGCAUUUUUCCUGACUGAGGUAUUAAGGAAAUUAAAUUUUCUGGAGGAAGUGCUUUCUUCAAUAUCAGAUUGCUAUAAAGG